rnacentral:lncRNA from 1 species
UAAAUCUGAUAUUGUGAUAAACACAACAUGGGAACUUUAGAGAACGUAAACAAUCGUAACGGUGACCAUUAAGCACCUUAUUAAUAAACGGAUCAAAUAUUUUUUUGCCGUUUAGUGUAAUGUAAGAGAUCGAGACAAUGAGUGUUCUUCUUUGCCUCUUCUUUUAUCUGUCUCUCUCUUUUAUCUUCUUAUGGGUUAUAUUCAAAGAAAAUGAACAAGAGGCAAAGAAGAAACCUUCUGCAAAAAUUCACUUUCUCUCUUUUUUGAUUAUGGUUUGGCCCUAAACACAAUGAAGAUGUAUAUAGGCAAAAAAAAAAAAAAAAACUUCAAGAGAUAAACAGCUUAGUUAGAUAAAUUUUCUCCUUAACUUUCUCACAAUCCAAACAAAAAUGGUUCAAACUUUUUCUACUAUCUAUUCCAUUAAAAUUCACCAACUAAUUUAACUAUUUUUAGAAAUAUAUACACCUUUUAUUGUUUAAACAAAACAAAAAUACACAAAACAUUUAGUUCACUUAAUUGCCAAACUCUUCAUAGUGCUUGUAUGUUACAC